rnacentral:rRNA from 1 species
AAUGAACGCUGGCGGCGUGCCUAACACAUGCAAGUCGAACGAGUAAGCCCGCAAGGGUGAGUACAGUGGCGCACGGGUGAGUAAUACAUAGGAAUCUGCCUCUGAGUGAAGAAUACCCUAGAGAAAUUUAGGUUAAUACUGCAUAAGCCCAGAAAUGGGGAAAGGUGGCCUCAAGCUACCGCUGAGAGAUGAGCCUAUGGCCUAUUAGCUAGUUGGUAGGGUAAAAGCCUACCAAGGCGAGGAUGGGUAGCCGGCCUGAGAGGGUGUACGGCCACACUGGAACUGAGACACGGUCCAGACUCCUACGGGAGGCAGCAGUGGGGAAUAUUGCACAAUGGGCGCAAGCCUGAUGCAGCGACGCCGCGUGAGGGAUGACGGCCUUCGGGUUGUAAACCUCUUUCAGCACCGACGAAGCGCAAGUGACGGUAGGUGCAGAAGAAGGACCGGCCAACUACGUGCCAGCCGCCGCAGUAA